GGAUUGGGAGGGUUCUACGGAACCCGUUUGGUGAAUCUAGUGCCGAGAAAAGCCUUCUAUGUGUUGAAUUUCUAGUACCCGUACCCCAAACCGACACAGGUGGGUGGGUAGAGCAUACCUAGGGGCGCGUGAUAACUCUCUCUAAGGAACUCGGCAAAAUGGCCCUGUAACUUCGGGAUAAGGGGUGCCUGCGUGAGCAGGCCGCAGUGAAAUGGCUCUGGCGACUGUUUACCAAAAACACAGGUCUCUGCUAAGUCGUAAGACGAUGUAUAGGGGCUGACUCCUGCCCAGUGCCGGAAGGUUAAGGAAGUUGGUUAGCGCAAGCGAAGCUGGCGACCGAAGCCCCGGUGAACGGCGGCCGUAACUAUAACGGUCCUAAGGUAGCGAAAUUCCUUGUCGGGUAAGUUCCGACCCGCACGAAAGGAGUAACGAUCAGAGCGCUGUCUCGGAGAGAGACACGGCGAAAUAGGAUUGUCCGUGAAGAUACGGACUACCUGCACCCGGACAGAAAGACCCUAUGAAGCUUUACUGUAACUUGGAAUUGUGUUCGGACUUUGUCUGCGCAGAAUAGGUGGGAGGCUAUGAAACGUUCCUCGCGGGGAACUGGAGCCAUCGUUGAGAUACCACUCUGGCAGAGUCUGGAUUCUAACCUACGGGGACAGUUCCAGGUGGGCAGUUUGACUGGGGCGGUCGCCUCCUAAAAUGUAACGGAGGCGCGCAAAGGUUCCCUCAGGCUGGUUGGAAAUCAGCCAUAGAGUGUAAAAGCAUAAGGGAGCUUGACUGUGAGACCUACAAGUCGAGCAGGGACGAAAGUCGGCUUUAGUGAUCCGACGGCACUGAGUGGAAGGGCCGUCGCUCAACGGAUAAAGUUACUCUAGGAUAACAGGCUGAUCUCCCCCAAGAGUUCACAUCGACGGGGAGGUUUGGCACCUGAUGUCGGCUCGUCGCAACCUGGGGCGGUAGUACGUCCCAAGGGUUGGGCUGUUCGCCCAUUAAAGCGGCACGUGAGCUGGGUUCAGAACUCGUGAGACAGUUCGGUCCAUAUCCGGUGUAGGCGUAGGAGCAUUGAAAGGAUCUCUCCUUAGUACGAGAGGACCGGGAGGGACGUACCUCUGGUGUACCUGUUAUCGUGCCAACGGUAAACGCAGGGUAGCCAUGUACGGAGUGGAUAACCGCUGAAAGCAUCUAAGUGGGAAGCCCACCUUAAGAUGAGUGCUCCCUUGAGGCCACGGGAAGACGACCCGUUUGAUAGGCGCUAGGUGGAAGUGCAGUAAUGCAUGCAGCCGAGGCGUACUAAUAGGCCGAUGGC
rnacentral:rRNA from 1 species